GACGUAGGGACCAAGCGUUGUUCGGAUUUACUGGGCGUAAAGGGCGCGUAGGCGGCUUAACAAGUCACUUGUGAAAUCUCCGGGCUUAACUCGGAACGGCCAAGUGAAACUGUCAAGCUAGAGUGCAGAAGGGGCAAUCGGAAUUCUUGGUGUAGCGGUGAAAUGCGUAGAUAUCAAGAGGAACACCUGAGGUGAAGACGGGUUGCUGGGCCGACACUGACGCUGAAGUGCGAAAGCUAGGGGAGCGAACGGG
rnacentral:rRNA from 1 species